rnacentral:rRNA from 1 species
CAGUAGCCGCGGUAAAACGUAGGGUGCAAGCGUUAAUCGGAAUUACGGGGCGUAAAGCGUGCGCAGGCGAUUCGCUAAGACAGAUGUGAAAUCCCCGGGCUUAACCUGGGAACUGCAUUUGUGACUGGCGGGCUAGAGUAUGGCAGAGGGGGGUAGAAUUCCACGUGUAGCAGUGAAAUGCGUAGAGAUGUGGAGGAAUACCGAUGGCGAAGGCAGCCCCCUGGGCCAAUACUGACGCUCAUGCACGAAAGCGUGGGGAGCAAAUGGGAUUAGAUACCCGGGUAGUCCCUGUCUCUUAUAC